rnacentral:rRNA from 1 species
UACAGAGGCCUCGAGCGUUAGGCGGAAUCACUGGGCUUAAAGCGUGUGUAGGUGGAUGCCUAAGUACCUUGUGAAAUCCCAUGGCUUAACCAUGGAAUUGCUUGGUAUACUGGGUGUCUUGAGCCACUCAGGGGCUACCGGAACAAGCGGUGGAGCGGUGAAAUGCGUAGAUAUCGUUUGGAACGCCGAUGGUGAAAACAGGUCGCUGGGGUUGUGCUGACGCUGAGACACGAAAGCCAGGGGAGCGAACGGG